GCCGCCGAGAUCGAGAUCCCAUCAAACGGAGAGGAAGCCAUCGCGCAUUUUUGUUUGCCGAACGAGGUUCACCACGGUAGCAAGUGUUUGGGUGAAAAAUUUCGCAUCAAUUCCGCUGAGAUUCUGCACAAAAGCUUCCUUUCCGGUUGCCGAAAGGAUUUUCCAACGCGGGUGCGAUAAAUUCGUUUGGAUCGCCGGAGCGACUGGUUUGCUUGUCUCGUCGCUUGCCACUAAAAGCGCCACCAUCGAUUUUAUCCUCAACAUUUGAACGCUUUGAAGAUAAAAAAAUGGGCAAAGCUAAGGAUAACAAACCGAAUUCGGAUAGCGAGUCCAGCGAGGAAGAGGAGUAUGUCGUGGAGAAGGUCGUCGAUCGGCGGGAACGGAAGGGAAAGGUAGAGUAUUUCCUGAAAUGGAAGGGAUACGAUUCCUCGGCGAACACUUGGGAACCUAGGGAAAAUCUCGAAUGCCCGGAACUGAUCAAGGCAUUCGAAGAUGCCCGAGCUGCGGCCAGAAAAGAAAGUGCCACAAAGGAGAAAGAGAAGGAGAAGGACAAAAAGAAACCCGGUAAACCAUCGUCCACUAGCAGUUCAAAGCGAAAGGCCGAUUCCGAUGGUGAUGACGGUUCCGAUGACGACAAGGAUGAUUCCGCUUCGACCAAGUCCAACAAAUCCAAGACCACAGCCGCAGACAAUGAUGCAGCGGCCAGCGAUGACGGCAUGAACGGAUUCGAGCGAGGAUACGUGCCGGAGAAGAUUCUCGGAGCAACCGAAGCAAACAACGAGCUUCUGUUCCUGAUCCAGUGGAAGGACAAGGACAAGGCCCAGCUCGUUUCAUCCAAGGAAGCACGCAAGCACUGUCCGCAGCUGGUCAUAGACUUCUACGAAGAACGUCUCAUCUGGCAAUCGUCCGAUUCGGCGGAGUAAAUUUCCACCCCUCGCUCUGCUUUUUCAUUUCCCUGCAUUUCUCCUUCCGCUUGUGAUGCAUAAGGCGGGGUUGAACGUUUUCCUUGAUGGAUGAUUAUAAGUUUAGGAUCUUCGUUUUAAGUACGCCAACAAAUAACUGAUAUGACCGGAAAUAUGUAUGUCCGUAGUAAGUUUUUAUUUACUGAUAUUGAUUGACUUGAACUGUAUCGAUGGAUAGGAUCUAAGAAAGAAGCUCGUUUGAAGUGAAAUACUAGGCCAUAGCGCAACAAAAAAAACAGGACAGGACAAACAACAAAAACUACAAACUCUCGGAUAGAAGCAACAUCCACUUUACGACCUGUAAUUCAAUACAACAGAACAUAUUUUCAUGAAUAAUAAAGAUUUUGGAAAAUUAGUAUUACGUCUAAAUAA